rnacentral:sRNA from 1 species
ACUACAAAUUAAUCAUUUCCUAUACAAAUAAAAAUUGAUGUCACAAGCAGAAAGAGCUUUUCAAGAUGUGCCAGCGAGUUUUAUGGACUUAUAUAUAUCCUUCAAGACUAAUAGAAAAUGUUAUAUACCAAGUUGGUUGUUUUGUUCAAGUUUCACAUUGUUUCAAAGGAAACAGUUCUCUUACUAUCCAAGUAUUAAAUGUGAAAAUACUUUCUCUAUCAAUUUUAUGAGCUUUCCAACCAUCUUGACACACGGUGAUCUGAAGAAUAAGCACCAAAAUUACCAAAGGUAUAUUGGAAGAUGCGAAAAGGUACCAUACAUUACAGGCCAUUGUCUGCAUUAUUGUGAGAUUUUUAAAAUAGAGAAAUAAAACAUCAGAGGAAAUGUCUUUACAGGAGCUCAAACCUUUCUCAUGAGGUCUGUACCUGGGAGACUAACUCAGCCUCAAGCAUUUAAACUCCACUCCCAACUGAAGUGUAAGUACUUUCUGAUGGGAAUGAACUCUUUACCAAGAAUUACUGACUUAAUUGGUUAUAGUAAAAAUUGAGUACACAAGUGGGUUACUUAAAGGCCCUAUGGAAUAUUUGUACUUGCCAUAGUUGUCACAUGAAGUGACCUCCACUCUUCAAUGACAAAAUACCCUAGCUAUUUUCAGUUUUUCUCAUAAACAAUGGGAAGACUGAUUUUGCAGAAAACACAUAUGACUUUAUCUGUGGUAUCCUUUGUAUAGCCAUUGUAAGAAAUCCUUCCAUUCUCUAGGGAAAAAUUCAUCUCUGCUUAAAGAGAAACAAAAACAACA